rnacentral:rRNA from 1 species
GGUGGAGCAUGUGGUUUAAUUCGAAGCAACGCGCAGAACCUUACCAACCCUUGACAUCCUCAGCUACCUCCAGAGAUGGAGGGUUCCCUUCGGGGACUGAGUGACAGGUGCUGCAUGGCUGUCGUCAGCUCGUGUCGUGAGAUGUUCGGUUAAGUCCGGCAACGAGCGCAACCCUCAUCCUUAGUUGCCAUCAGGUUUGGCUGGGCACUUUAAGGAAACUGCCGGUGAUAAGCCGGAGGAAGGUGUGGAUGACGUCAAGUCCUCAUGGCCCUUACGGGUUGGGCUACACACGUGCUACAAUGGUAGUGACAAUGGGUUAAUCCCAAAAAGCUAUCUCAGUUCGGAUUGGGGUCUGCAACUCGACCCCAUGAAGUCGGAAUCGCUAGUAAUCGCGUAACAGCAUGACGCGGUGAAUACGUUCCCGGGCCUUGUACACACCGCCCGUCACACCAUGGGAGUUGGGUUUACCCGAAGGCCGUGCGCCAACCUUUCGAGGGGGCAGCGGACCACGGUGAGCUCAGCGACUGGGGUGAAGUCGUAACAAGGUAACCAAGGGCGAA